ensembl:lncRNA
GGCAUUUAAAAACAAACAAACAAACAAAACAAAGAAAAGAAACAAAACUAAAACAAAAAAAAACCCAAGCCAACCAACCAAAAACAAAACAAAAAACCCCAAGCCAACCAACUAAAAAAAAACCAAAAAAAAACCCCCAAAACCCCCCAAAAAAUUGGCAAUGGAAGACUGGAAGACUGUAUCCUAUUCCAGUACCUUCAGAUUUUUUAAAGAAAAUUGUUACUUCGUUAGACUUCAAUAAACAAGUUUUGCAAUAAAACGUUAGAAAUACUGUAAUACACUCAUUGUGUGGUAUCGCACUGGACCCCACAAAAAAAGGGAAAUGUCAUCUGUGAUAACAGCAAAAUUGAGUAACUACACCCGUUACACACAGAGUUAUCACUGGAGAAGUGACACUGUCAGGGUCUGGCUGAACAGCCUAACGCUUUGCAAAUACCAAAACACGUCUGAAACACUCAGAUAAGUAGAAGUGAUGAGAAGUGACACGAGACCUUUUCAGAGGACAGAGAGAACACAACUGGAAAAUCUAUCUCUAGCAUGUGCGAGAGUAAGUUCCUAUAGUGCUGAGGAAAACGCAGUUCGAUAGGUGAGAAAGAAAAGGCACUGAAAAGAUACUUAAGCAGCAGGCUGAUUGUAGUUGAAACCUGCAUCUGAAUCCUGUAACUUUAUUAGGAGAUUCUAUUGACCGAGGGUUGUGGAGGAUCUCUUAGCUUUUAAUAUAUUAUUUUUUCAUCUCCUUCCGGCUACUGCCCCUUGUAACUCGUCUCCUUUAUUUCCAGCUCCCUUCAGCAGCCGCACGUUGCUCCUGCCCGGGGCACGCAGGAACCCCGGCACACAGGUGGGAUCCCGGGCCCGCGGUGUCCCCGUCCCCGUCCCGCCCCGGCGCCGCCUCCCGCCCGCGGGAAGAGCCGGUGAGGCGGCGGCGGCGAGAGGAGCGGGGGCAGCCGGAGCCGCGGAGCUGGGGCUGCGCUCCGCGUCCCGCCGAGCACACGCACCCCCGAAGCCCCGCGCCGGGCAGCCGUGGGGCAACCGUGGGGCAGCCGUGGGGCAGCCAGCUCCAGACCCCCGGGCCCGCUGCCCCGGCCCCGCCCGCCCCGCCCGGGUGGAGCCCUGCCCCGCCCCGCCGCGGCAGGAGGAUGAGGCGGCGGCGGCCCCGGCCGAGGCGGCUGCCCCAUGGCGGAGGAUGUUGACCUGAAAGUAUGUCAGGGAGCUUUGGAUGACUGCUGUCCACCUCCGGGACAGGAUCAACUGGAACUGCAAGAAGAAGAGAAAGACAUAUAUCAAGUAAGUGAUGAAACAAAAGGGAAGAAGGGAAAACUGAAGAGGAAGUGAGGCAGGAUACAGAACUUAUCACUAAGAUAAAUAGUAUUAAAGGGUUUUGAAAGGAAUAAUUUAUUUCCUCUUGUUAUUUGAAGUGUCCCUUGCCAGGGCAGGAAAAAAAUUGUCCCUUCAGACAAUGCUUUGUGAAUGAUGUGCUUGUAUACCUUUUUGAAAAUUGCCUCCUUUCUUCAACCCCCCACUAUUUUUUUUGAGUAGUUGAAAUAUUCAGAGGUUUACAGAAAACACUUGCAACUAGUUAUUUUUUAAUCUGGGUUUAUUUUCUCUGUUGUGAAGGUGUGCUUUUGGGCAAGGAUGGUUUUGCCUACAAACACUAGAGACAUGGAUGCUAAAUUAUACUGCUCUCACCAUUUAUGUAAAGCUUAAUGCUCAGAUGUAGAAUUACAUUUGGGACACUGAACUCUUCUGUUCUCUCUAAGAGCUACAACGAAAAGGGCACUCAAUUUUUUUGAGACCUUGUGAGAGCUGAGAACAUCUGAUCCAGGUGUCUUGCCAGCCUCCUCUGUCUGCCACUCCCCUGAGAGCUUGGCUUUGAAAAAAUACUUAAUCUUUCCACACUGGUGGGGAGGUACAGCUUCAAAGGAAAGCCCAUUUCUGAUGUUGUGGGCAGGGUAGGGAUGCUCAGGCCAUGGAGCUGUUCUGCUCAUUCUAGCAACAUGUCAUCUCCCAUCAGGAUGAAGACUUGAUGGUGGAGUCAGCAGCAGUAUUGCACUGUGCUCUGUUUCCUCUCUGACUUUGAUUUUUACCUCCUUAGGUAAAAUAACUGUGCUUUACACCAUAUUUCUCUUUUUGUCACAGAGCAACAGCAACCAUGGAGAUUCCCUUCUCUCCUUAGAAAGCUGUUUACAGCUUC